ensembl:lncRNA
GGAUUAUCCAGGUGGGCCCAAUGUAAUCAGAGGAGUCCUUAUGAAGAGAGAGGCAGAGGGUCAGAGCCGGAGACCAGCAUGUGAGAACGGAAGCAGAAGCUGAAGUGCUGGGGGGCCACGAGCUGAGGAAUGCAAGGAGCUUGUAGAAGCUGGAAAAGGCUAGGAACGGAUUCUUCUCUAGAGUGUCCAGAAGGAACACAACUCUGCCAUCACCUUGUUUUAAGUCGAGUGAGACUGAUUUUGGCCUACUGACCUCCAAAACUCGAACAUCUGACCAGGCAGUGUUCAGCCAGAGACGAGGGGUUUCCCGAAGAUGUACUACGAAGAAGGUACCCAUGGGAGUAUCUGAAAUGAGCACUGCUUCCUGAGACGGUACGUUUGAGUUGGCAUCUUCGUACAGCUGAACGCUACACUGGGUGCCAGAAGCUAACAAUCUGACUGAGCAGAAAAAGGGAACUGGACAAGGACUGCUGUGACGGGAGGGCUGCCUGACAAGAAGAGGAGCGCGAUCUUGGCCUUGGACUAACAGGAUGCUGAUGAGCAGGAGGGAGAUGGGAUUUUGGACUGCAGAAGGAAGCCCAAGGCGGAAGUGGAGAAGCCGUUCCCUAGAAGAGUGAAGAGAUGUCCAGAGGAGCCAUGGGGAAUAAAGGGACAGUGGAAUCCUGUUACUGAGGUCCCCACACAUCAGCCGGAGGCGUUCUGGAUAAGAAUACAGCCACUGGGAGCUAUCUUGUAAUUUUUUUAAAUUUUGAAACAGUCAAAAACUUAGAACAAAGUUAUAAGAAGAUUAGAAAGAUUAAAUAGCUGACUAACCAGCCUUAUCACUCCCCAUGCUUUGGAGGGGGUUUCCUACAAACAAGAACAUUUUUCUCUAUAAUCACCACACACAUAGCAAAAUUAGGAUAUUAACACUGUUGCGUUACUACCAUCUAUUUAAUCUUCAGACUCCAUUCGGGUUUUGCCAGUUGGCCCAAUGACCUCUUUUACAGUAAAAUGAUCCAGUUCAGAAUCACACACUGUAUAUGUUGUCCUGUCUCUUUUGCCUUCCUCAGUCUGUGGCUGUUUCCUUGGCUUUCAUGACUUGGAUUCUUUUUUAUUUAUUUGGGAGGGUUUUUUUGGUGAAGAAGAUAGGCCCUAAGCUAACAUUUGUUGCCAAUCUUCCUCUUUUUGCUUGAAGAAGAUUGUCCCUGAGCUAACAUCAGUGCCAAUCUUCUUCUAUUUUGUAUGUGGGACACUGCAACAGCAUGGCUUGAUGAGCAAUGUGUAGGUCCAUGCCCAGGAUCUGAACCCGUGAACCCCAGGCCGCCAAAGCAGAGCACAUAAACUUCCACUAUGCCACCGGGUUGGCCCCAUGACUUGGAUUCUUUUGAAGAUUACAAGCUAGUACUUUUGCAGAAUGUCCCUCAAUUUGAGCGUGUCUAAUCAUCUCUCACGAUUUGUCAGGGGAUUCAGCUUUUGCAAGAAUAACACAGAAGUGACACUGUCUUCUUUUCAUAGCAUCCUAUCAAGUGGCUUGGAAUUUCAUUUGUCCCAUUCUUGGUGAUGCUAACUCAGAUCACUAGAUUAAGAGAGUGUCAGCCAGGCUUCCCUACUGUAAAGUUAUCCUAUUUCUUUCACUGGGAAUCUUUGGGUAGAGGAAUGAAGAAUUCAAAGUAGCUGUUAGGGAAAACUGGACACAUUGUUGCUUCAGGCGAAUGAAUUAGAGGAGAGAGUAGCAAGGUCCAGGCUGGGUAGCCAACAAAAAGCAAGGCCCUUGUGGCCUGUGAGCUCACGUAUUCUUUUGGAGAGGAGGGACUACAUUGUCCUACUCUCCUGACCUUGAACGCCAGUCCAUAAGCCUUGCCAACACUUCUUACUGGACCUCCUAAAUUUCCCAAUAGCAAAUCGUCUGACCAAGAUGUCAGAGGGAAUGCUAAGUAUGGGAAAUUAAAGAUGGAGUCCGGUUUAUGAGCUGCACCUGUGUCUUUUCUAGGAGACGUGGACUGUGAUACAGUGAGCAAAAGAUGGGCAUUGGAGGCAGACAAUGUCACGUGGUGGGAGGGCCCCGUCUACUGAACUACCAGAAUAUUGUUUUUCUGGCGGGGAGUGCAAGCUGAUGGCAAGAUCUGAAUUGCUUGGCUUAUUUGGCACAAUUUUUAGAGAAUGUUUAUGAGAAGGCAAGAGACAGUAGGCAUAAGAAGAAAAUAUUGCUUAAGAAAACAUGUAUUGAGUGGAGAAUCUGAGGCAAGCAAUGCAAAUCCUUCUGCUCUUCUUUCCCACUAAACUCUGAUCUCCCCAAGGACAGUGCAUCUAGGUAUCAAUAUUGAAAGGAAUGAGUUAUGGUCAGGUAAAAGUCCGGGUUCAAACACAGCCUCCACCACAUGCUGUUUUCGGACAAGUUAACUAACUUAGCGGAGCCUCAGUUUCCCCACGUAAAUAGGGAAACUGGUAUAUACCUCAAAGGGACUUUAUGAGAAUUGGAUGAGAUAAUGCGUUAAAAUGACAAUGCAAGACUCUAGGCAUAAGGCUGGUAGUUAAAACUUUAGGUGUUGUUUAUUGUGUAUUCCCAGGCACUUACCACAGUAUUCUGCAAAUGAAAAGUUUCAAGUGAUAUCCACACAAGGGAAUGAAAUGAGCUAAUUAAGGCAAGAAAAGACAUGAAGGAAACUUAAAUGUAUAUUGCUAAGUGGAAGAAGCCAGUCUGAAAAGACUGCAUGCUCUGUGAUUUCAACUCUCUGACAUUCUGAAAAAAUUUAAACUAUGGAGACAGUAAAAAGAUCUGUAGUCAGGGAUUGGAGGAAGGGAGGAAUAAAUGAAGCACAGGGGAUUUUUAGAGCAGUGAAACUAUUCUGUAUGAUAGUGUGAUGGCAGAUAUGUGUCAUUACACACGUGGGGAAAUCCAUAGAAUGUA